GACGAACGCUGGCGGCGUGCUUAACACAUGCAAGUCGAACGGAAAGGCCCUGCUUUUGUGGGGUGCUCGAGUGGCGAACGGGUGAGUAACACGUGAGUAACCUGCCCUUGACUUUGGGAUAACUUCAGGAAACUGGGGCUAAAACCGGAUAGGAGCUCCUGCUGCAUGGUGGGGGUUGGAAAGUUUCGGCGGUUGGGGAUGGACUCGCGGCUUAUCAGCUUGUUGGUGGGGUAGUGGCUUACCAAGGCUUUGACGGGUAGCCGGCCUGAGAGGGUGACCGGCCACAUUGGGACUACGAUACGGCCCAGACUCCUACGGGAGGCAGCAGUGGGGAAUAUUGCACAAUGGGCGGAAGCCUGAUGCAGCAACGCCGCGUGCGGGAUGACGGCCUUCGGGUUGUAAACCGCUUUCGCCUGUGACGAAGCGUGAGUGACGGUAAUGGGUAAAGAAGCACCGGCUAACUACGUG
rnacentral:rRNA from 1 species